CAACUUUCAACAACGGAUCUCUUGGCUCUCGCAUCGAUGAAGAACGCAGCGAAAUGCGAUAAGUAAUGUGAAUUGCAGAAUUCAGUGAAUCAUCGAAUUUUUGAACGCACCUUGCGCUCCUUGGUAUUCCGAGGAGCAUGCCUGUUUGAGUGUCAU
rnacentral:rRNA from 1 species